UAGACGUACUGCCUACCAAAUAGGGUGUGUAUUUAUUGCUACCUUGUUAUUUUAUAAUUAAGUUGGCAACUUUAUGCUGUAAGUCUUUACACUUUGUUGGGGAAGAGGUGAAAAUGGGAGUAUAGAAAGAGAGGGAGGAGCAAAUGGGAGAAUACUCCCCCGUUCUCUUGUAUGGGAAUGAGGUGAAAAUGGGGAGAGUUUGUCCUUUUGUCAAGCCAAACCCUUUCACACCAUUUUUUUUGGUGAAAAUCAUUGCAUCUACUGAUAUUUUGCUAGUACCCAUAGGAAUGUUUGUAUAAAAAAACAGUUGAUAGUGAAUCUCAUUACACUAAAAAUUUCCCUUCCCUUCCCUUCCCUCUUUCAUGGAUUAGUAUUAAUAUAUAAUUUCUUCCAUUGCUUUA
rnacentral:misc_RNA from 1 species